rnacentral:lncRNA from 1 species
AAUUCCUCUAAUUUAAAUUUCACUUUUAAAUUUAAAUUUAAUAUUAUAUUCAAAUUUAUAUUUUAAAAAUUUAAGUUUCAUAUAAAUACUUUGAAAUAUGGUAAACAGAAAUAAUUGUUUGAAUUCUAGUCUUCUGGUUUAGGUUGGUUUUGGGUUUCGAAAAAUUGGUCAGUUUGGAAUUUGAUAUGGAUUUUUGAAAUCCGUCGAGUUGGAAAUAAGUUUUAUGAUUAUUAGUCAGAUUCGAAUUCAAAUUCCUAACUUUUUUUUUUCUCACCAAUAAUUCUAAUCUUUUUAAUUUAUAUGUUUAAAAUUAUAUUUAAAAUCUUUAUUAGCUCUAACAGUUAAAUUAUCAUUCUGUUUAAAAUAUUUAUUAUCUUUACCCGUUCGAAUUGUUCUUAAUGUUAUUCAGUUCAAUAGAUUAAAAUCAGAUUCUUGAUAGAAUAGGUCAAAGUCUGAUCAGUCAAAUCAAUCGGUUCAAUCUAGUUUUUAAGUCAUUGAAUUUAAAAUU